rnacentral:misc_RNA from 1 species
ACACCUCAACCCUCCAAUGUUUUUGCAUUGAAGGUGUUGGUAGUGAGCGCUGCCGGACUUUUGGUCGGCUCGCUUUAAAAUCAUUAGCUGGAUCCACCUUGACCUGGUUCUACUCGGCGUAAUAAGUCGUUAUCGUCGAGGACGCUGGCCCUUCUGGGCGGGCGGCCACAGUAAGGGUGUUUUGAACCGCUUCCAACACGUCUUGCUCUCGUAGCAAACACUUGAAC